UACGGAAGGUGCAAGCGUUAAUCGGAAUUACUGGGCGUAAAGCGCGCGUAGGCGGUUUGAUAAGUCGGAUGUGAAAGCCCUGAGCUUAACUUGGGAAUUGCAUUCGAUACUGUCAAACUAGAGUAUGUUAGAGGGAAGUGGAAUUCCGGGUGUAGCGGUGAAAUGCGUAGAUAUCCGGAGGAACACCAAUGGCGAAGGCAACUUCCUGGGACAAUACUGACGCUGAGGUACGAAAGCGUGGGGAGCAAACAGG
rnacentral:rRNA from 1 species